GUAUAACCCCUCUUCACCCGAUCAAAAAAAAGAAAUCAAACACCUCUCCUCGACGAUCUCCUCUUUCCUCUGUGACCUCACCUCUUCUCAACAGAGCAAAACCGCAGCCUCCUCUUCAGUCACGUUCGCCCGCCAACCUUCUCACCCUCGUUUUCCUCCUUGAUGUCUUCACCAUCUUCAUCCUCUCCUCCCUCUUCUCCUUCAACCCCGACCCUAAUCUCCUACCCCCUCGACGGAACCCUAACCCUAGAUUGGAUCUAAACCCUAACCUCGAUGGGGCAAAACCGCAGCUGAGCCCGAGGACCUUUGCAUCCUCAGCUAGGAUAUCUUUUGUACUCCGGAUUAUAUAACGCCAGAAAUGUCGAAUGGAUUUGAGUUCAAUAAGGUUUUUGCUUGUUUAGGAGAGCAAUGCUUGCACUAAAUCACCAGAGAAGUCGGUUAGGAAUAAGAGGCACAGAAAGGAUGUUAAAUAUGGAAACCUGGCCGAUUGCAACAUCCAGAAGGAGUCGACGCUCCACCUCGUCCUCCAUCUCCGCGGUGGCGCCAAGAAGAGGAAGAAGAAGAAGAAGGAGAGACGAGGAUUCCUUGCUGAACUCCAAAUGCCCGAGGCAUCUGGAAUUGAAAUGGCAGAGUGAGAUUAGCUCAAGCAUUUACGCCACUCCCUUGGUUGCUAACAUUAAUAGGGCUUCGGAUUUUCCGUGGGAAUAUGAUGGUGCUUGUCUUCAGAUGCGUGUAUCAUAUACCCCAGCUGCCCAAAUCGUUCUUUUUCUGGUCUAGUGGACAGACUGUAGAUUUGCAGGGGCUCUUGGUUUGAUGAGGAUCUUAAUGUAUAAGGUUUAUGUCAACGGAAGAACGACUAUGUCAAUCUAUGACAGAAAAGCAAGUAUCAAGGAGUUUUAUGGGGAUAACUGAUAUGGAGGAUAAAAAACAAAAAGCAGUGUGUAUGAUACAGAAGGAGAGAAGAUGAUGAUAUGAGGCUAUUAUCCGAUAUAGAUGAUGAAAGUGAAGAAGCAUGUGGGAUCUGUAUGGAAAUGAACAACAUGGUUGUACUACCCAACUACAGCCAUGCUAUGAGCAUGAAAUGCUAUCAUGAAUGGAAAACAUCUGAAGAUCCAUGCUUAUCGCUCUUUGUGGGAUUUAUUUGUUGUGAAGAUUUAGAACUUAAUCGUCUUAAUAGAGACAUUUUGAUCUUUUGAUUAAGCAGUAGCUCUUUGUUUUAAUCAUGGAGGAAUUGUGAUAUGUGAUUUGAACAAAAGUAAAAACUUGUGAUGAAUCUCAAUCCUAAUGCUGUAAUAUUGUUCUUCGUUGUAAUGAAUUGUUCAUUAUAUUAAGACUAAAGUUUGGUUA